ACUGUCAAAAUUUUUGUCAGGAAAUAUUUCUUAUCUCUAGGGUGUGAUUUAUGGUCAAAACUUGAAAGAGGAUUAGAAUCGACAACAGCCUAAAGCCCUGGGCUCUCUCAGACCUAAACUUAGGAUGCCUGUGUGCUCGGCAGGUGCUAUAAAUCACCAAGGCAUGAACUACCUACCAAAGUCAGCAUCUCACUUGCACAGGUUGGCACUGAUCCAGUCUGCAUAAAAAAUUAAACACUGCAAAGGAGAUCCCUGAUAUUUCAGUGGUCAAAGCACUUUUCUGGAGUGUGGGAGGCCAGCAAAGUUGAAUCGUUUGCACCUGGUGUGAGAUGAUUAAUGAGUUGUUGGUUAUGCUCAGUGAGGAUCUUUCUUCCUUUCCGCAUUGUUUCCCCUAUAGAAAUAGAAAGAACUUGGUUUCAACCCUAUACAGCAAAAAAAAAGGGGUGGUUUUGAAACCUCAAAGUCAUGUACAACUAGGAAAUCAUGUCUCACCCAGCUGUUAGAGAUGACUCAUCCCUGUGAGACAGACGUGGUUGUCUUCUGGGAUACCCAACAGCUCCCAGAUAUGAAACAGCAAUGAAGCGUGGCCACCAUGUCAAAAGCUGCUCAUGGGGCUGGAGUUGAGCAAAGUGGAGUGUACUUAGGAGACUUCAGUUUCACCUACACAAAACAGUUGUUUCUGAGUUGCACCAUUAGAAACACAGUGUGCGUGCAUGUAACUGAGCGAGGCAGCAGCCACUGCAUGCAGACUGGAAGUUUUACCUUUGAGUGGCCCAGGAAGGCUCAAAGGAUGAGGAGAUAGCAACCUGCUGGACCACAACAAAACCUGUGGACAACAAGCUUUCCUCAGAGUACCUGAAAUCUCCUCCUCGUCCAGGAGCCCAGGCAAAUUUCCUUCCCCAGGCCCUGUGUAAGGUGCCUUUGAAGUGGCCAGGUCUCAGGUCCCACCAGCUCCAGGAGGGAAAUGUGUUGCUUCCCUUGCAGCCACUCAGCGGACAUAAGAGCAUAUCAUGCCCGGAUGUAUACUGUCACGCUUGUCCUUUCACUCUUGUGCCCCCAUUUCCUCAAGCAGCCACAGGAGAAAAAGAAAAAGAAAUAAAGAAAGAGAAGCCAGUGACUUUAUUAAAGCUACAUGCUUCACCUGUAGCAGGAAUAUAUUCCAUUGAGAAAGUAUCCCCUUUGCAAAUUGAAAGUCGGCUGCACGGGUCCUCGGGACAGAAUAAAAUUGAGUCCCCU
rnacentral:lncRNA from 1 species